GCGGCAAUAGCUCAGUGGUAGAGCCCCCGCUUCGCGCGCGGGGAGACCUGGGUUCGAUUCCCGGCUGCUUCC
rfam:Toxocara canis scaffold495, whole genome shotgun sequence.